rnacentral:rRNA from 1 species
AAAGGUAAGCUACUAAGAGCGAAUGGUGGAUGCCUUGACUGGUAAAGGCGAUGAAGGACGUACUAGACUGCGAUAAGCUACGGGGAGCUGUCAAGAAGCUUUGAUCCGUAGAUUUCCGAAUGGGGCAACCCAAUGUAUAGAGAUAUACAUUACCUAUAUAGGAGCGAACGAGGGGAAUUGAAACAUCUUAGUACCCUCAGGAAAAGAAAUCAAUAGAGAUUGCGUCAGUAGCGGCGAGCGAAAGCGCAAGAGGGCAAACCCAGUGCUUGCACUGGGGGUUGUAGGACUGCAAUGUGCAAGAGCUGAGUUUAGCAGAACAUUCUGGAAAGUAUAGCCAUAGAGGGUGAUAGUCCCGUAUGCGAAAAACAAAGCUUAGCUAGCAGUAUCCUGAGUAGGGCGGGACACGAGGAAUCCUGUCUGAAUCCGGGUCGACCACGAUCCAACCCUAAAUACUAAUACCAGAUCGAUAGUGCACAAGUACCGUGAGGGAAAGGUGAAAAGAACUGAGGUGAUCAGAGUGA